rnacentral:rRNA from 1 species
UACGGGGGGGGUAAGCGUUGUUCGGAAUUACUGGGCGUAAAGGGCUCGUAGGCGGCCAACUAAGUCAGACGUGAAAUCCCUCAGCUUAACUGGGGAACUGCGUCUGAUACUGGAUGGCUUGGAUUCGGGAGAGGAAUGCGGAAUUCCAGGUGUAGCGGUGAAAUGCGUAGAUAUCUGGAGGAACACCGGUGGCGAAGGCGGCAUUCUGGACCGACAUUGACGCUGAGGUGCGAAAGCGUGGGGAGCAAACAGG